UGAGUCACCAUUUCUAGAUGGUUAAAUCGAUUGGUAUGAGAAGUUAUAUUCUAUGCUACCAGCUUAGGUAUGAACUUAUGGGGUCACACGUAUUAGAAAAUUUGAUCAGAUCUGAUAGCUGAAGAGUCCAAUUAGAUUGUGACUUUGGUGAGGAGUCCCAUUGAAACUAGAACUCUAUUAUAAAUAAAAAAUUAAUUAGUAAUUGACUCAAUUCGAUUGAGUAAAGAGA
rnacentral:lncRNA from 1 species